rnacentral:rRNA from 1 species
GACGAACGCUGGCGGCGUGCCUAAUACAUGCAAGUCGAACGCUUUUUCUUUCACCGGAGCUUGCUCCACCGAAAGAAAAAGAGUGGCGAACGGGUGAGUAACACGUGGGUAACCUGCCCAUCAGAAGGGGAUAACACUUGGAAACAGGUGCUAAUACCGUAUAACACUAUUUUCCGCAUGGAAGAAAGUUGAAAGGCGCUUUUGCGUCACUGAUGGAUGGACCCGCGGUGCAUUAGCUAGUUGGUGAGGUAACGGCUCACCAAGGCAACGAUGCAUAGCCGACCUGAGAGGGGGAUCGGCCACACGGGGACUGAUACACGGCCCAGACUCCGACGGGAGGCAGCAGUAGGGAAUCUUCGGCAAUGGACGAAAGUCUGACCGAGCAACGCCGCGUGAGUGAAGAAGGUUUUCGGAUCGUAAAACUCUGUUGUUAGAGAAGAACAAGGAUGAGAGUAAAAUGUUCAUCCCUUGACGGUAUCUAACCAGAAAGCCACGGCUAACUACGUGCCAGCCGCCGCUGUAA